UGAAGUCGGAAUUGCUAGUAAUCGCAGAUCAGCAUGCUGCGGUGAAUACGUUCCCGGGCCUUGUACACACCGCCCGUCACACCAUGGGAGUCGGUAACACCCGAAGUCGGUAGCCUAACCGUAAGGAGGGCGCCGCCGAAGGUGGGAUUGAUGACUGGGGUGAAGUCGUAACAAGGUAGC
rnacentral:rRNA from 1 species